AAGGAUGGUGACGGGUGCGUCAUAUGGGAAAGCAGUAGUGUGAGGGGAAGAGCACUGGGGUUUGAUUUAAAUUGGGUGGGCAAGGAAGGCCCAUUCAGGUUUCUCUGCAAAUGUCCCCUCAGUGGAGUUUUCCUUGACCCCCCCUAUGUAGAUCAGAUUCCAGCUUGAACCGGGAUGGGACGGGAGUGGAGUAUCCUCAGGAGGAACCCGUGCAAGGUGGCGUCAAGGAAGAAAUGGGGACAGGGCUUCGUGGUCCUCAGGUCACUGUCAUGGUGACGACUUGUACUCUGCUUGAGACGAAACCGGUUCUAGGAUUUUGAGGAGGGAGAUGUGACAUGGUCUGACAUUUAUAAAGGACCAUUCCACCGUUCUUUAGAGAACCAGCCAAGGAGAAACAAGGGCAGAGACAGAGACACUCACUAGGAGGCCGCCGUCAUAAUCCAGGGAGCAGUAACCAUGUCGGAUCCUCGAGGUACCCAUGGCGGUGGUGGGACGUGGUUGGAGUCUCUGGAUGUACUUCCAAGGUCCUGCCAGCAGGAUAUGCUAAUGAUUUGGAUGUGAGAUGAGAUGAAAAAGACAACCUUUGCAUUGCAGACCCUCAUUGCACAACCUUAAAAACCUUAGACAGUUUCUCACUCUGGUAUCAACUAGAAGAACAAAAAGGUGUAUGUUCCUUGAACCCUGUUUAAAAAAUUAAAAUGCCUUUAUUCAUAUUAUUUGAGUUGAACUUAGGCAGUGGGUCUUCAUCCAUCUGGCAGACAAACAGAGGCCCUGUGAUGUUAAAUGCUCUGACCAAGUUUAUAUAGCCAGUCAGUGGCAGGAGACAUCCUUCAACUCAUCUGCAGAAUCGCUAUCAUAAAAAUCAUCUUCCUUAUUAAGUGCUGGGACCAGAGCUUAUGAGGUUCCAGCAUUUCAGGGAUCCAAAGGUCCUUUGAAGAGCUAAGUCAGUGCUCAGCAUCUCAAAUACUGUUGUUAGAAGUUGUUACAGUGUGUGAAUCUGUAUUAUCUUUUGUACGUGAAGAGAGAGGAGCCGACCUACAGGGGAGGACACUUGCCCAUGAACUUUGUGUUCCUUUUUUCUGGCAACAAGCAAUUAAUUUGCCCAGUUUGGGCCACUUCACUCUUAUCCACUGACUCUUGUGUAACCCAGGGGCCAUUGUUUGUCAUAUGGAGAUGCCUUCUGAGUGCCUGGAAUGGAGCAAGACUAAUUAGCUUAACCAACGUUAAAAAAUAAGACUUCCCCACUGAUAGGAUGCUAACCAGCAAACUAACCUGUCACAGUCACAGUCUUUUAUGGAUGUGGAUGACUGGCAUUGUUUCAGCAUAUCCAGUGCCUUGGCAUUUGCGAAAGCCACCUGGCCACCUUUAUUGGUCUGAUGGAUGGAUUUGAGGCUGAAGGGCAAGUUGGAUUAUCUAUUAAUGGAAAAUAAU
rnacentral:lncRNA from 1 species